rnacentral:lncRNA from 1 species
AAGGUCAGCAUUUUAAAGACAGCUAAAACUUCUUACUAUUUCAAAGGAGGAACUGUGCUUCAAACCCCAUCAUCUUCUUCUUCUGUUCUCUGUAAGUGGAUUUCUUCAACCUUUUUAGUUUGUCUAUGGAUCCAAUCUAUGUGUUUUUUGUGUGUUAUUUUGUUUGGUUUUUGUUGGGUUUCUUAUUAUUAUUAUUAUUAUUAUUAUUAUUAUUUUGGUUUGGGGUUGACUUUGUGAUCAACGGAGGCAGCUGCAGGAAUGGGUUCAAACUCUGAAGUUUAUCUCUUCGAUGAGGUGGCAAAGCACAACCACAAGAAAGAUUGUUGGAUCAUAAUCUCUGGAAAGG